GCCUGUCAAUUUUUGACGUCUCACGUGUGUGUGCGUGUGUGCGUGUGCCUCUCGCUCUCGCUCUGUGCGUGUGUCUCGCUUCAUUUUGUCUUUAGUGUCAGUGGAAGAGAAAGAAAACGAAUAGUUCGAGUGUCUUGCCGUGUCUUUCGAAAUUGUGUCUCAAGCUUUGCGCCGCGCUUCAUGUUUAUGCCGGCAUUUUAAUGACGUCACGCCAGCCAGCGCAGUAACAACAGCAGCAACAACGAAAGCAACAGCAACAACUGCAAAGUCAGCAAAACCGCAAGCAAGAAAAAUAAUAUAAAGAGAGAGAAAAAAAGAAUAAGCCCAAAAACGCGUUUCUUCUGCCCCGCUGCCUCGCGCUCUCCCCCUUUUCGGCUGUUGUCCGCGUGCAAAAGAAGUUACAAAAUUAUAACAACAACGCGUGAGUUUUGUGUGCAACAACAACAACAAAAAAAACAAAAUCAAACAAACUCAGCCACAGCUGCGACUGGCCAGAAAGAGAGAGAAAGAGAAUCGCAUCGCAUCAUCAGCUGCAGCACAAGAUAAUGUAAAAUCAGCGUAUGCUCAAUAAAGAAAAGCUUACACAAAAAAAAAAACAAAAACAAAACAAAGCAAAGCAAAGCAAAAAAGCUGCUAAACUUACAAACAAUAAUCAAGUUAAAGCAUAUUUAUAUAUAAACGUUUGUUCGAAUCAAAAUUAAACUAUACAACUCUUAGCCAAGAUAGGCUUCAAGUACCCCAAGCUAUCAGCCAUCCCCAAGCUUUGUAAACAGAUAAAAAAAAGCAAGUGUAAACGCUACAACAAGAACUCAUACAAAACGCUACCAUCUAUGCUAAAUAUAUAUAUAUGUAUACCUUAUAUAUAUAGGUGCUGAUCUGUGCUAAGAGCUGUUUAUCUAAAAAACAAAACAAAAAAGAACCCAAACAAAGCCAACGUCAUAAACGUAAAUCGCGCAACAUUUCUAGUCGCCAGCUAAGCUAUCUAUAUAGUCUCCCCAGCUAAAAACUAUAUAUUUAUAUAAUAUACAUAUAUAUAUCUAUAAUACCCAUAUAUAUAUAUAUAUAUAUUAUAAUACUGAAGAGUUGCCGCUAAGAUGGCCAACGUUGUGAAUAUGAACAGCCUGCUGAAUGGCAAGGACUCGCGCUGGUUGCAGCUGGAGGUGUGCCGCGAGUUUCAGCGCAACAAAUGCUCGCGCCAGGAUACGGAGUGCAAGUUCGCCCAUCCGCCGGCCAAUGUGGAGGUGCAGAACGGCAAGGUUACCGCUUGCUAUGACAGUAUCAAGAGACGCUGUAAUCGUGAUAAACCGCCGUGCAAAUAUUUUCAUCCACCACAGCAUUUGAAGGAUCAGCUGUUGAUAAACGGACGCAAUCAUCUGGCCCUAAAGAAUGCACUGAUGCAACAAAUGGGCAUCGCGCCCGGCCCGCCGGUCAUAUCGGGCCAAGUGCCAGCCGUGGCUACAAAUCCCUACUUGACUGGCAUACCAGCCAACACAUACAGUCCUUACUAUGCCGGACACUUAGUGCCUACUUUGCUGGGACAUGAUCCGACGGCCGUUGCCUCACAGCUGGGUACGGUGGUGCCACAGACCGUUCAGGUGGCACAACAGAAAAUUCCACGCUCCGACAGAUUAGAGGUCUGUCGCGAAUUCUUGCGCGGCGCCUGCAAACGGGCCGAGUCGGAAUGCCGGUUCGCGCAUCCGCAGGAGAGCGUUGCGCGGCACGACGAUGGUUCCAUAACGGUUUGCAUGGACGCCGUGAAGGGCAGAUGCGCACGUGACCCCUGCCGCUACUUUCAUCCCCCCCUGCACCUACAGGCACAAUUAAAAGCGGCCCAAACACGCGCCACCGCUGUCGCUGCUGCAGCUGCGAGCUCACCUCUUGCGGCACACCAACAACUCAAUCAGCAUCAGCAACAACAACAACAACAACAACAACAACAGCAACAGCUGCAGAACCACCUCCACAACAACAACACCAUCCCAACGGCCGGCGGCGUCGCUGCUGGCGCAACAACAACACCAACAGCAACAACAACAACAAACAACGCUGCCGCUGCCGCUGCUGCUGCCGCCGCCGCCGCCGCUGCCGCUGCUGUCAUGGGUCAUCACACACUGGAAGUGGGCAAGAAGCGGUCAGCGGAUCCUGAAAUGUUUCCACUGCAAUUCUCUGGCAUGGUACCGUUCAAACGUCCAGCUGCCGAAAAGUCUGGCAUUCCAGUGUAUCAACCCGGUGCGACAACCUAUCAACAAUUAAUGCAGCCCUACGUGCCAGUGUCAUUUACUGGACACCCUCCCGGUGUGCCAAGAUUUUAAUAGAUCUAUGUGCAGUCGGUUAAAUUGUAGAUUCGUUCAUUUAACUGAAGAUGACAAGGUCGAGGUGAUUGAUCAACGUGUUGCUGUCUGUCGGGAUCAUGCCAAUAGCCAGUGCCGUCGUAAACAGUGUAAAUACUA
rnacentral:misc_RNA from 1 species